CAAGAUAGCCUCGUGGGAUUGGAGGAAAGAGUGGAUGGUCUCGAGGGAGAAUAUGCCGAGUUCACGGUGGCCACAAAAGCUCUCAUCCAUGAGCAAGCGAACAUUCUCCGAGGUGAGUUUCGUUCUUUCCAUGAUGAGUUGCUCAAACUUCGUAGUUUUAUUCAGGACGAACUAUGUGCUGUCCGUGCGGAAGUGGAUGAAGUCCGCUCGGAUUGGGCAUGGCACAAGCGCACACUCUCCACAAGUCCAGCUUCCGUAAACUCGAGUGAUGCGUGCCGCAUUGACGUGCCAAAGCCCGACACCUACGAUGGCACACGCAAUGCCACCAUCGUGGACAAUUUCCUCUUUGGGCUGGAUCAAUACUUCGAUGCCAUGGGUGUUCGAGAUGAGGCAUCGAAAGUGGGCACUGCACCCACCUAUCUUAGAGGCGCUGCACAACUAUGGUGGCGUUGCAAGCAUGGCGAGAUGGGCAAGGGCAUUUGCGCCAUCGACACUUGGGCCGACUUCAAGCGAGAACUCCGAAAGCAGUUCGCCCCAAGCAAUGCGGAGAAGGAAGCGCGAGUGCGCUUACGUCGCCUCAAGCAAUCGGGUAGCAUUCGGGACUACAUCAACGAGUUCACUACCCUCAUGUUGGAGAUAAGCGACAUGUCCGACAAGGAUUCACUCUUCUACUUCCAAGAUGGCCUCAAGGAUUGGGCCAAGACCGAACUUGAUAGGCGUGGUGUUCAAACACUUGACGACGCCAUUGCCGUUGCGGAGUCGCUCACCGAAUACUCUACCCAAUCCAAGGACAAAAAGGCCAACCAAGGCAAAGCUGGGGGAGAGAGUCGCAAGGACAAGGGCAACAACCGCAAAGAUUGGGGGCAGAAAAAGCCGCCUAGCAACAAGAGUUGGCAAGGAAAAACGGAGGGCAAGAAGGAGGCGCCAAAGCCGCGAAGCCCAUGCUUCAUAUGCAAUGGUCCUCAUUGGGUACGCGACUGUCCGGAGAAGAGGUCGCUUAAUGCUCUUGCUGCCCAACUCAAGAGCAACCCCGCAAUGUCCACGGAGGAACCCCAACUCAGCAUGGGUUCUCUCCAACGCCUCGGCGCACUCAAUCGCCAACAGCCCGCACUCGUCAAGAAAGGGCUCAUGUAUGUAAGCGCAAAGGUAAACGGUCAGUCCGUUCGUGCGCUGCUAGACACGGGAGCAACGCACAAUUUCGUGUCUGUAGACGAGGCCAAGCGCUUAGGUCUCAAAGCUACUAAGGAAGGAGGCACAAUGAAGGCAGUGAACUCACCCGCCAAGCCAAUUGCGGGAAUUGCACAAGGCGUGUACAUCACACUCGGUACGUGGAGUGGAAAGCUUGACUUCUCCAUCGUGCCCAUGGACGACUUCAAGAUGGUCCUCGGCAUGGAAUUCUUCAACCAAGUCCAUGCCUUCCCGCUGCCCGCUACAAACUCCCUAAGCAUCCUCGACGGGAGUAAAGCAUGCAUGGUACCCACGGAGCGAGGCAAGUCCGAGGAGAAGACACUCUCCGCCAUGCAAUUCAAAAGGGCUUUCAAGAAGGACCCAAGCUUCUUGGUCUCCAUUCGGGAACUAAAUGAGGAAGGAAAUAGCGGAACAUCGCCAAGACAAGUCCUUCCACGAAUUCAAGCCGUCCUCGAAGAUUACAAGGAUGUGAUGCCUCCAGAACUUCCGAAGAAGCUCCCACCUCCGCGAGAGGUAGAUCAUGCGAUUGAACUGGAACAAGGCGCGAAGCCACCAGCCUUGGCACCCUACCGCAUGGCGCCACCCGAAUUAGAGGAGUUGCGGAGACAACUCAAAGACUUGCUGGAUGCAGGCUACAUUCGCCCCUCAAAGGCCCCAUUCGGUGCACCCGUGCUCUUCCAAAAGAAAAAGGAUGGAUCGCUGCGGAUGUGCAUCGACUAUAGAGCACUCAACAAGAUCACUAUCAAGAACAAGUAUCCGAUUCCCUUGAUUGCGGACUUGUUCGACCAGCUUGGCAAAGCACGGUACUUCACCAAACUUGACUUGCACUCCGGGUAUUAUCAAGUGUGCAUCGCCAAGGGAGAUGAACCGAAGACAGCGUGCACAACAAGAUACGGGUCUUUCGAAUUCCUUGUGAUGCCUUUUGGCCUUACUAAUGCACCCGCCACAUUUUGCACACUCAUGAACAAGGUACUCCAACCAUUCCUCGACCGCUUCGUGGUCGUGUACUUGGACGACAUUGUGGUGUAUAGCACCACACUCGAGGAUCAUGCCCAACACUUGCAACAAGUCCUCCAAGUACUUCGAGACAAUGAGCUCUUCCUCAAACUAGAGAAGUGCUCGUUUGCCCAACAAGAGGUGGAGUUCCUUGGCCACAAGAUUGCGGGCGGGAAGAUCAUGAUGGAGAAUGACAAAGUAAAGGCCAUCCUCAAUUGGGAGCCUCCCUCGAAAGUACCCGAGGUUCGCUCAUUCCUUGGGCUGGUGAAUUACUACCGCCGCUUCAUUAAGGGCUAUUCAGCCAAGGCGGCACCCU
rnacentral:lncRNA from 1 species